rnacentral:rRNA from 1 species
UGCCAGCAGCCGCGGUAAUACGGAGGGGGCUAGCGUUGUUCGGAAUUACUGGGCGUAAAGCGCGCGUAGGCGGGCUGUUAAGUCGGGGGUGAAAUCCCGGGGCUCAACCCCGGAACUGCCUCCGAUACUGGCAGCCUAGAGAUCGAGAGAGGCGAGUGGAAUUGCGAGUGUAGAGGUGAAAUUCGUAGAUAUUCGCAGGAACACCAGUGGCGAAGGCGGCUCGCUGGCUCGAUACUGACGCUGAGGCGCGAAAGCGUGGGGAGCAAACAGGAUUAGAUA